GGGAAGGUGGCUCAGUGGUAGAGUGCUUGCCUUCAUGCAUGAGGCCCUAGGUUUGAUUCCUCAUCAUCACA
rnacentral:tRNA from 1 species